GGUGAAGUUAGGUAAGGAUAAGGGUGUAUUUGGUUAGUUUUGGUCAGGUCAACUCGUCCGCUGUGAUUGGCACGGAUUUGGCCUUCACUGGUAGCCUGGUAACAUACACUCCCAGGUCUUUCUCUGCCUCUGUGGUGGAUAGUGGAGUGUUUCCCAUGUGGUAUUGGUGUGCUGGAUUUGGCCUUCACUGGUAGCCUGGUAACAUACACUCCCAGGUCUUUCUCUGCCUCUGUGGUGGAUAGUGGAGUGUUUCCCAUGUGGUAUUGGUAUGCUGGAUUUGGCCUUCACUGGUAGCCUGGUAACAUACACUCCCAGGUCUUUCUCUGCCUCUGUGGUGGAUAGUGGAGUGUUUCCCAUGUGGUAUUGGUGUGCUGGAUUUGGCCUUCACUGGUAGCCUGGUAACAUA